rnacentral:miRNA from 1 species
CACUAUUGGAUCUCAUUAAAAUGCAGAUUCUGAUUCAGAAGGUCUGGGUGAGACCUGAGAUUCUGAAUUUCUAGCAAGUGCCCAGGUGAUGCUGAUGUUGUUAGUCCAAGGACAGCACUGUAAGUAGC